UGGGGAAUCUUCCGCAAUGGGCGAAAGCCUGAUGCAACAACGCCGCGUGAGUGAAGAAGGAUUUCGGUUCUGUAAAGCUCUGUUGUUAGGGAAGAAUGAUUGUAUAGUAACUAUAUACAGUAAAACACCGUACCUAUACAUACCGCCACGGCUAACUACAUGCCAGCAGCCGCGGUAAUACGGAAGUGGCGGGCGUUGUCAGGAAGUAUUGGGCUUGUCGCGCCCGCAGGUGGUUUAAUAAGUCUGAUGGGAAACCCCACGGCUCAACCGUGGAAGGUCAUUGCAGACUGUUAAACUUGAAUGCCUGAUGUAAAAGUGGAAUUCCUAGUGUAGCGGUGAAAUGCGUAUGGAUUAAGAGGAACACCUGUGGCGAAACGCGACGCUNAGGCCUGUAACUGACACUGAGGCGCGAAAGCGUGNGGAGCANACNUCGAUUANAUACCCUGGUAGUCCACGCCGUGNCNAUGAGUGCUANGUGUUGGUCUCAUAACANAUCANUGCUGCACCUNACGCGUUNAGCACUCCCGCCUGGGGAGUACGACCGCNAGUUG
rnacentral:rRNA from 1 species